AUGGCGGCUGGAGGCGGGGGAGGCGAGGUGCUGACGCCUCGUGAGUUGGCGAUGGAAGAGAUGGAUCCGCAGCCUGGCGUUUUCUCCGAAGCAGAGAUCCUGAGGAUGGAGAUUGCGUCCCUGGUGAACUUGCUCAGGGAGAAGCAGUCUGACGUUCUUUCGCUCGAUCCUGAGACCGUGAGGAAAAUCACGUCCCUGAGGAGCGAGAUCGCGUGCCAGAAGUUGGAAAGGGAGGUUCCGGAGGUCAAACGCACAGUGCCGCGGAGGCGUAAAAAUAACGAAAGCAAAUCAAGCACGGAGACGCAUGCCUCGAGGAUGAUGGACCAAGGCAAAAAAUCAAGCUUUAGGAUGGGCCUGGAUUGCGAUGAGAAUGGUAUGCCCAACUUGUGCAAAUAUUACGAGAUGCUCGAAUGUGAGGAUGCGGAGGAGGAAGAUGAGGAGAUGACUCCGGAGGGUGUAAGGAUGUAUAACAAAUUCCGUAAGGAGCUGUUAGAGAUGGAAGCUGGCUUACGCAAGGAGCGGGAGCAGGAUCAAAAGGACGCGCUGAGGUGGGAGCAGGAUCAAAUUGACACACCGAGCUGUUACACAAUGGACCCGAUCCCCUUCUCACUUCAGGACGAGGCAGAGGAGACUGAGGAGGCGGAGGAGACGGAAUUCACAAAAUCAGACACGGAAGAGAUGGAGAUGGCGGACAAGUUGUUUGCUUUAGGGCGUAAAGGCUGGGAAUCUGCAUGGGGAGACGACUGCGGUAACUUCGAAGACAGGACCGUAUUGAGUCCUAUGCACUUUACACAUUGCACGCCGGGACUGAUCCCGUACGCUGCUCGCACUGUGAGCACCUUGCAAAUCUACUCCGUGAAGAUUGUUGGAAGAGAUGGAAAGUUGAAGUUGCCACUCCAUGUUUAUGGGAUCGUCGCUGCCCGAGAUGCCGUGGACUACAACCGCAACAUUCUCUUCUCCCGGCGAAGGGAAAACUGCCAAAAACUAACUCCAGAGGAUCCUUUUUUGCGCUUGACUGGCCCGUCCCGUGCAAUUGUGGCUGUGGACGAUGUUGAUUUCGAAGUCCAACUGAAAGUAAAGGGCUCAUCAAGGUCUCGCGACAGAGCAUUGAUGAGUCAUCGCUUUACUUACGCCGGUGGUUACCAUGAAGGUUUACAUACCACGUUCUCCAGCAACAGCUUUUGCACAGUAGAAUUGAGCUAUGAGCGACUUACAGAGACAGUCCAGGCUACUAUCUUGAGUGCGCGUGUUGUUGAAGGGGCGCCUUGGCCUUUUGAAUAUGGCGGGCGGAUUAUGUGCUCCUCGCCACCACAGGAAGUUACGGACUCCCUAUCCAGGCAAGUUGUGUUGGUUGAUUCUCAUCGUUCUGAUGAUGGUGGAGAAAUGCCAAUGGGCUCGGAUGGUUACAUUGAUCUGUCAAGGCAUGUUGUUUCUGUAGAACUUGAAGAAAGCCUGCAGUUUGUCAUACAAGCCUACUCACAGUCUGGUGAUGCUAUUGCUAGACAAGGUAGUGUCAGGUUCAGGACCAAAUACUGCAACAUAAGUCGAGCGAUAUGUGAGAUUGGUGACUCUAAGGUGGAGAUAACUGUCGCUUGGUCCCAACUUGCUAAGCACAAGAGGGAUAUCCUCUUAGAAGGACAUGUUUGA
rnacentral:rRNA from 1 species